rnacentral:ncRNA from 1 species
AGGGGGGAAAUUACUUUACUNCUAUACAACACGCAUACGGUUAAGGCACUGCCACCUACUUCGUGGCAUCUAACCAUGUUUUUUU